GACGAACGCUGGCGGCGUGCUUAACACAUGCAAGUCGAACGGAAAGGCCCUGCUUUUGUGGGGUGCUCGAGUGGCGAACGGGUGAGUAACACGUGAGUAACCUGCCCUUGACUUUGGGAUAACUUCAGGAAACUGGGGCUAAUACCGGAUAGGAGCUCCUGCUGCACGGUGGGGGUUGGAAAGUUUCGGCGGUUGGGGAUGGACUCGCGGCUUAUCAGCUUGUUGGUGGGGUAGUGGCUUACCAAGGCUUUGACGGGUAGCCGGCCUGAGAGGGUGACCGGCCACAUUGGGACUUAGAUACGGCCCAGACUCCUACGGGAGGCAGCAGUGGGGAAUAUUGCACAAUGGGCGGAAGCCUGAUGCAGCAACGCCGCGUGCGGGAUGACGGCCUUCGGGUUGUAAACCGCUUUCGCCUGUGACGAAGCGUGAGUGACGGUAAUGGGUAAAGAAGCACCGGCUAACUACGUGCCAGCAGCCGCGGUGAUACGUAAGGUGCGAGCGUUGUCCGGAUUUAUUGGGCGUAAAGGGCUCGUAGGUGGUUGAUCGCGUCGGAAGUGUAAUCUUGGGGCUUAACCCUGAGCGUGCUUUCGAUACGGGUUGACUUGAGGAAGGUAGGGGAGAAUGGAAUUCCUGGUGGAGCGGUGGAAUGCGCAGAUAUCAGGAGGAACACCAGUGGCGAAGGCGGUUCUCUGGGCCUUUCCUGACGCUGAGGAGCGGAAGCGUGGGGAGCGAACAGGCUUAGAUACCCUGGUAGUCCACGCUGUAAACGGUGGGUACUAGGUGUGGGGUCCAUUCCACGGGUUCCGUGCCGUAGCUAACGCUUUAAGUACCCCGCCUGGGGAGUACGGCCGCAAGGCUAAAACUCAAAGGAAUUGACGGGGCCCCGCACAAGCGGCGGAGCAUGCGGAUUAAUUCGAUGCAACGCGUAGAACCUUACCUGGGUUUGACAUGGAUCGGGAGCGCUCAGAGAUGGGUGUGCCUCUUUUGGGGUCGGUUCACAGGUGGUGCAUGGCUGUCGUCAGCUCGUGUCGUGAGAUGUUGGGUUAAGUCCCGCAACGAGCGCAACCCUUGUUCACUGUUGCCAGCACGUUAUGGUGGGGACUCAGUGGAGACCGCCGGGGUCAACUCGGAGGAAGGUGGGGAUGACGUCAAGUCAUCAUGCCCCUUAUGUCCAGGGCUUCACGCAUGCUACAAUGGCUGGUACAGAGAGUGGCGAGCCUGUGAGGGUGAGCGAAUCUCGGAAAGCCGGUCUCAGUUCGGAUUGGGGUCUGCAACUCGACCUCAUGAAGUCGGAGUCGCUAGUAAUCGCAGAUCAGCAACGCUGCGGUGAAUACGUUCCCGGGGCU
rnacentral:rRNA from 1 species